AUACGUAGGGGGCAAGCGUUAUCCGGAUUUACUGGGUGUAAAGGGAGCGUGGACGGCACUGCAAGUCUGGAGUGAAAACCCGGGGCUCAACCCCGGGACUGCUUUGGAAACUGUGGUGCUAGAGUGCAGGAGAGGUAAGUGGAAUUCCUAGCGUAGCGGCGAAAUGCGUAGAUAUUAGGAGGAACACCAGUGGCGAAGGCGGCUUACUGGACUGUAACUGACGUUGAGGCUCGAAAGCGUGGGGAGC
rnacentral:rRNA from 1 species